CAUGGGCAGGUUGAAGGUUGGGUAACACUAACUGGAGGACCGAACCGACUAAUGUUGAAAAAUUAGCGGAUGACUUGUGGCUGGGGGUGAAAGGCCAAUCAAACCGGGAGAUAGCUGGUUCUCCCCGAAAGCUAUUUAGGUAGCGCCUCGUGAACUCAUCUUCGGGGGUAGAGCACUGUUUCGGCUAGGGGGUCAUCCCGACUUACCAACCCGAUGCAAACUACGAAUACCGAAGAAUGUUAUCACGGGAGACACACGGCGGGUGCUAACGUUCGUCGUGAAGAGGGAAACAACCCAGACCGCCAGCUAAGGUCCCAAAGUCAUGGUUAAGUGGGAAACGAAGUGGGAAGGCUCAGACAGCCAGGAUGUUGGCUUAGAAGCAGCCAUCAUUUAAAGAAAGCGUAAUAGCUCACUGGUCGAGUCGGCCUGCGCGGAAGAUGUAACGGGGCUAAACCAUGCA
rnacentral:rRNA from 1 species